rnacentral:rRNA from 1 species
AACGAACGCUGGCGGCAGGCCUAACACAUGCAAGUCGAACGCUCCAGCAAUGGAGAGUGGCAGACGGGUGAGUAACACGUGGGAACCUUCCCUACGGUCGGGAAUAGCCCAGGGAAACUUGGGGUAAUACCGGAUACGCCCUUCGGGGGAAAGAUUUAUCGCCGUUGGAUGGGCCCGCGUCGGAUUAGCUAGUUGGUGGGGUAAUGGCCUACCAAGGCGACGAUCCGUAGCUGGUCUGAGAGGAUGAUCAGCCACACUGGGACUGAAACACGGCCCAGACUCCUACGGGAGGCAGCAGUGGGGAAUAUUGGACAAUGGGCGCAAGCCUGAUCCAGCCAGGCCGCGUGAGUGACGAAGGCCUUAGGGUUGUAAAGCUCUUUUGGCGGGGAAGAUAAUGACGGUACCCGCAGAAUAAGCUCCGGCUAACUUCGUGCCAGCCGCCGCCGUAAUAC